rnacentral:rRNA from 1 species
UACGUAGGGUGCGAGCGUUGUCCGGAAUUAUUGGGCGUAAAGGGCUCGUAGGCGGUUUGUCGCGUCAGGAGUGAAAACUCGGAGCUUAACCCCGAGCCUGCUUCUGAUACGGGCAGACUAGAGGUAUGCAGGGGAGAACGGAAUUCCUGGUGUAGCGGUGAAAUGCGCAGAUAUCAGGAGGAACACCGGUGGCGAAGGCGGGAUCUCUGGGCCGAUACUGACGCUGAGGAGCGAAAGCGUGGGGAGCAAACAGG